rnacentral:rRNA from 1 species
GAUGAACGCUGGCGGCGUGCCUAAUACAUGCAAGUCGAGCGAACAGACGAGGAGCUUGCUCCUCUGACGUUAGCGGCGGACGGGUGAGUAACACGUGGAUAACCUACCUAUAAGACUGGGAUAACUUCGGGAAACCGGAGCUAAUACCGGAUAAUAUAUUGAACCGCAUGGUUCAAUAGUGAAAGACGGUUUUGCUGUCACUUAUAGAUGGAUCCGCGCCGCAUUAGCUAGUUGGUAAGGUAACGGCUUACCAAGGCAACGAUGCGUAGCCGACCUGAGAGGGUGAUCGGCCACACUGGAGCUGAGACGCGGUCCAGACUCCUACGGGAGGCAGCAGUAGGGAAUCUUCCGAAAUGGGCGAAAGCCUGACGGAGCAACGCAGCGUGAGUGAUGAAGGUCUGCGGAUCGUAAAACUCUGUUAUUAGGGAAGAACAAAUGUGUAAGUAACUAUGCACGUCUUGACGGUACCUAAGCAGAAAGCCACGGCUAACUACGU